GAUAUUUGGGGGCUCGAAGAUGAUUAGAUAUCGUCCUAGUCUCAACCAUAAACGAUGCUGACCAGGGAUCAACGGAUGUUGCUUUUAGGACUCUGCCGCCACCUUAUGAGAAAUCAAAGUUUUUGGGU
rnacentral:rRNA from 1 species